rnacentral:lncRNA from 1 species
UAGGCUUUCCUGUUCUGCUUCCUUAUUAUCUCUUGUCAAGCAAAACACACACAACAACUCAUAGAGAUGAUGGCAAAGCAGUCUUACAUAGGAACCGUGUCUUAGUUUACUUAGCUCUUGGGGUUCUUGUAGGAGGAGAUUGUUACCUUUACUCUAUUGGACUGCUUGUAGGAGGAGAUUGCUACCUUUACUCUAUUGGACUGCUUUACCUACCCGUUUCUACCUUUUCUCUGAUCUGUGCAUCUCAGUUAGCCUUCAACGCUUUCUUCUCUUAUUUCAUCAACUCACAAAAACUCACUCCAAUCAUUUUGAACUCUCUUUUGCUCCUAACUAUCUCUUCCACCCUCCUUGCCUUCAAUAGCGAGGAAUCAAAUUUCAGAAAAGUAACAAGAGGACAGUAUGUCACAAGUUUCAUAUGCACCAUUGGUGCUUCUGCUGGGUAUGGUCUAAGCUUAUCCUUACAACAGCUAGCCUUCAGUAAAGUCCUAAAGAGGCAAAAUUUCUCAGAAGUCAUGGAUUUGAUCAUCUACGUGAGUCUAGUGGCCAGCUGUGUAAGCGUGGUGGGGCUCUUUGCUAGUGGAGAGUGGGAAACUUUGAGCAGUGAAAUGGAUAGCUACAAGCCUGGAAAGGUAUCUUACGUUAUGAACCUAGUGUGGACGGCUGUUACCUGGCAGGUAUUCAACAUUGGUAGCACGUGGCUUAUCUUCGAGAUUUCCUCUCUAUUCUCAAAUGCUAUUGGCGUUUUGGGUUUGCCUGUGGUUCCUGUACUGGCUGUCAUCAUUUUUCAUGACAAAAUGAAUGGGUUAAAGGUGAUAUCUAUGAUCUUGGCUAUCUGGGGUUUCAUGUCCUAUGUCUACCAACACUAUCUUGAUGACAAAAACUUGAAGAAAAGUCUUGGAAUGCCAACAACCGGAUCCUCCGACUCACCAGAAGCAAAAGGGUCAAGUGCGCAAAAGAUACAAACUCCAGCGAGCUGAAGGCAGCCUACAAUAAAGAAUAAACACAAUAUAUUUGUGAUGCAACUCAAGUGAAGUCUUAGGGUGACUUAUUUUCCUAUUUGCAUCAUUGUAACAGUUAGUUGGUUUGGCUUAAACAAAUAAUGAAAUAUUGUGAUGUAGUUUUAAAAAAGACUACCUAAAUCAGAUUACCUCAGUGAAAUGGCAUCAACAACUCAGUAACUAAAACUUGAGUUCAAUGCUACGAAAGAUGGGGCUUAUACUGUAUAGAAAGAGAGGGUGUGCACCUUUGUAGCUAUUCUUAUUAUAACAUCUAGUCAGUUGUUAGUUAUAAGCCAUGGGUUUUAACUUUUAAGUAACUGAGCAAAAUAUUUAAAACAAACAUUUUUAUAACAAAAUUUGUCAAUUCUUGUGUAUAUUUCUAAAAUGAUUCAAGCAAACAUUAUUUACUUCUGAUGCAUCAUCAGUAGAUUACUGGCAAAAUAAAUACUUUUUCUUAGAGCCGCCAUUAAAGAAUUCUCCAAGUUAAGUGGAAGCAGAAAAAUCAAAGUUAAAAACUGGAGCAAGUGUGGUAUGUUGUGACUUCGGCCUCAGCAGCUAUUUCCUUGCAAGCCUAAAAUCCUUGCUUAAUGAGCCUUAUCCCGGCCCUAGCACUACCUCGAUGAAAAGAAGUUGAUGAAUUGCCACAGAAACCACGUCGACGAUGAUUCACAAAUUUGAUAAAUUAUUACACACAUUCGUGCAUGUAUCCUAUAUAAAGCUCGUUUGUGUAAUUUUUGUAAUGGUCCAUGCGAACGGGGUGCAUGUUUCUCUGUACAGCUUGAGCCUGUGUAUCAAAAUAGGCUGUUACUCCUGUCAAUUUUGGGAAAAUAGCUUUGAACAAUACGUAAGUGACCAGAAAUAAUGUAGCGACAUCAUCUGCCACCCAGGUAUUAUUAAUUAAGUUGCAAGAGAUAUAAUAAUGUCUUUUCUUGGAUAAAUAGGCAGACUUUAAUUCUCUGCCAUAUAAUAGCUUAACCUCACCUUUAUCUUCAUCAUCAUUAUCUUGAGGAGAAAAACUUUCAAGACUAGCCAAAGAGAAACCCCAAAAGUGUGUUCCUAAUUAAUCCACAUGUCUAAUCAUAAGAGAAAGAUAGGCACACGGCACAAGCCAAAUUAAUUCAUAGUGGCAAAGACGUUUCAAAACUAUCCAACUUAAGAUCAAACAGCUUGUCUAUAUGUUAUGUUGAUGUUUCUCCACUAAGAUGAAAAUGACAUUUUCCGUAUGUAUAUUGGCUACACUUUAUUUCCUACUUGACUUAACUCAUUACUUGGUCAACCAUUGUGACAUCUUCAAAAAUUAAAUUCAUGACAACGUAAGAGAUAUUUAUAGUUGAGCAUUCACUUAAUGUGGGGACAUGUUACAAUGAAUACUUAACAGUGAUCGGUUCCUAAUCACUUAAUAUAUAGCUAUCAUUUGGUAGCAUAUUAUUAACCAAGAUAAUUGAUAAUAAGAUAAAUAAUACUUCAAAACUCAUCCUUGUCCAUCUCCAAGGAGGUAUAUUCCACAUCCACCAUGAAGGGUGAUCAAGAACUACAAGUCAUCGGUGAGUAAGCAUCAACCAGUUCAUGGAGAACUACUUUAUGGUAUCUCAAUUAUUGUUCAAUAGAUGAAGAAACGUUAAAAGUGACAACCAAACUACGUUCAUAAACUAAUUUUUGUGCAAUAUUUUCCCUCACUUACCAGUUCAGCAGGGAAAAGAACCAAACCCAACAGUUCAAGAUGGAAGAAACUCGGUCGGUAGCAACCACACAAACAUAUACAAACGGUGGCUCAGGGUGAUUAUCUACACAUUCUUUGUCAUUUCAGGACAAUCUGUUGCUACAAUUCUAGGCAGACUAUACUAUGACAAUGGAGGAAACAGCAAAUGGCUAGCAACAGUAGUUCAACUUGUAGGCUUUCCUGUUCUGCUUCCAUAUUAUCUAUUUUCAAUCAAAACACACACAACAACUCAUAGAGAUGAUGACAAAGCAGCCUCACAUAGGAACCGUGUCUUAGUUUACUUAGCUCUUGGGGUUCUUGUAGGAGGAGAUUGCUACCUUUACUCCAUUGGACUACUUUACCUACCCGUUUCUACCUUUUCUCUGAUCUGUGCAUCUCAGUUAGCCUUCAACGCUUUCUUCUCUUAUUUCCUCAACUCACAAAAACUCACUCCAAUCAUUUUGAACUCUCUUUUGCUCCUAACUAUCUCUUCCACACUCCUAGCCUUCAAUAAUGAGGAAUCAAAUUUUAAAAAAGUAACAAGAGUACAGUAUGUCACAAGUUUCAUAUGCACCAUUGGUGCUUCUGCCGGAUUUGGUCUAGUCUUAUCAUUACAACAGGUAGCCUUCCGUAAAGUGCUAAAGAGGCAAACAUUCUCAGAAGUUAUGGAUAUGAUCAUCUACGUGAGUCUAGUGGCCAGUUGUGUUAGCUUGGUGGGGCUUUUCUCCAGCGGAGAGUGGAAAAAUUUGAGCAGUGAAAUGGAUCGCUACAAGCUUGGAAAGGUGUCGUACGUUAUGAACCUAGUGUGGACGGCUGUUAUCUGGCAGGUAUUCAACAUUGGUGGCACGGGGCUGAUCUUUGAGCUUUCCUCUCUGUUCUCAAAUGCUAUAAGCGCUUUGGGACUGCCUGUGGUUCCUGUACUGGCUGUCAUCAUUUUCCAUGACAAAAUGAAUGGGUUGAAGGUGAUUUCUAUGAUCUUAGCUAUUUGGGGUUUCAUGUCAUAUGUCUACCAACACUAUCUUGAUGAUAAAAACUUGAAGAAAAGUAUUGGAAUCCCAACAACUGGAUCCUCUGACUCACCAGAAGCAAAAGGGUCAGGUGGGCAAAAGAUACAGACUUCAGCCUAGUUUAAACAUAAUAUAUUUGGGAGGCAACUCAAGUGAAGUCUGAGCGUGAUUUUUUUCCCUAUUUGCAUCAUUGUAAUAGUUAGUAGGCCUGGGUUAAACUAAAUACUUAUAUAUUUUAAUGUAGUUUUAAAGAAGACUACCCAAAUAAGAUUAGCUCAGUAUAAAAUUUUGUGGGUAGACGAUCUACUUCUCCACGAUAACCUACCAUAUAACAUCAGAUCCUCACCGAACUAUGAUUUCAUGUUAGAUUUUCACGAAUUGUAAAUUGCAAACCUAUUUCUUUCCUAAAUGAUAGUUCGAAAGUUAAUUACCCAUAAAAUAGUUUUAAUCGGCUUACUAGUUUCAAAUCGGAUUAUUCUUAACUAAAUAAUUUAAAUCAACUAAACCAAUCAAAAAUCCAUUUAUAUAUAUAAAUUAUUUUGUUGAACUUCUUACAACGAGAAAGUCAAAUAUUAUUGACUAAACCACGACGUGAGGUGGAUUGUGUUGAGAGACGACGCGACUGUGUUCUUUUACGGAGAAUCUGUUAAGUGUUACGAUCACAAGCAGUUCUAUUACAUCGGAAGCUCAUCGGAGAGCCACAUUCAGAAUCUGAAAUUCUCUUACGGGAUGACUUAGUUAUAUGUUGGCUAAAGCGUUGGAAAAUAUACAAGAUCGGUGUAUUCAGAGAUACCCUGAUUUGUACGGUUCCCAUAAUCGGAUUCAAGCUUGUAUGGCCGAGUCUAAUGUUCUAUUAUUCCUCUGUUUUUUGGGUAAAUAUAUUCUAUCUAGCCUAGAAUGAUUAAAAGGAAGACGACGACUGCUGCCCGACAGAGCUUCCACCAGAGGCAAUGCGUUUUAGACUAGACAGCUGAGGAGGAGAGAUUGUGGCACCUGGAUUGUGGAGAUACUCCGAGAUGAUGUGUGAAGUCGCAUAAGGAGAAACGGAGCUUAACGGCUUUAGGUAUAAGGCAAUAUAGUAUCAUAGAAGGACUAUUAUGUAAAUACAUUAGAGUACAAUAUAUACCCUAGCUUGUACUUGUAUAAAUACUCUGUAUUAGUCUUAAUAAAGUAAUUAUUCAGACCUAAUACAUUAUAUGGUAUCAGAGCAGCUUUAAGCCGCCAACCAAAAUUUUCAAAACUCUUUCUUCUCAACGACGACAAUGUCUGAGAACUCUCAAUCCCCAGCGACUCUAAGCGAGACCAUCACUGUCUCUGCGACACCCACCCUCCUCAACAUCAAUAUGACGAAUGUGACAAAGCUCACCUCGUCCAAUUUCCUCAUGUGGAAUCGUCAAGUCCACGCACUCCUCGACGGAUAUGCCCUUUCUGGCCAUAUUGAUGGCUCCACCGUCAUUCCUCCGGAGACAAUCACAACCGAUGCAGGCGUCGCACCAAAUCCUGCCUUUGUCAUGUGGAAACGCCAGGAUAAGCUUAUAUAUAGCGGACUCCUUGGUGCGAUAACCACAUCAAUCCAGCCGAUCCUAUCGACGACAAACACAGCCGCUGAGAUCUGGUCGAUUCUCAACGCAACCUACGCUAAGCCGAGCAGAGGCCAUAUCAAACAAGUGAAGCAGCAAAUCGAUAACUGGACCAAGGACAGCAAGUCGAUCAACGACUACUUUCAAGGCUUUACAACACGGUUUGAUCAGUUAGCUGUACUUGGAAAGCCCAUGGAUCAUGAGGAUCAGAUCGAGAAGAUACUUGGCGGACUUCCAGAGGACUACAAAACCAUGGUUGAUCAGAUUGAAAGCCGAGACACAGCACCGUCUCUUGCGGAGCUACACGAGAAGAUGAUCAAUCACGAAGCCAAACUUCAAACGACUGUGGCUCCUGUUUCCUCUGCACCUGUGACGGCAAACUACACAAACUACAGAGGAUCGCAACACCAUAAGUCAAAUAACUCAAGACGAGGCGGAUAUCGUGGCAACCAGACGUGGCAACAGCAGCAACAGCUCACAGCUCCGACCUCGCAGCAGUACACACCCCGUGGCUAUCAAGGCAAGUGCCAAUUGUGUGGUGUGUUUGGUCAUAGUGCUCGUCGCUGCCCGCAAAAUCAGUCGUCAGGAGGCUCCUCUGCUACUCCACAACAGUUUGCUGGUGUGCCGUGGCAGCCACGAGCCAACUACAUCUCAGCGUCACCUUACAACGUCAACCCUUGGCUACUUGAUAGCGGAGCCACACACCACCUGACAUCCGACCUCAACAAUCUGGCGCUUCACCAACCUUACCAUGGUGGAGAAGAGGUUGCCAUAGCUGAUGGCUCGACCAUGCCAAUCACGCACACCGGUUCUAUCUCUAUUCCUACAUCCUCUAAAACACUCAAAUUAGAUGAUGUCUUAUGUGUUCCCAAUGUUAACAGAAAUUUAGUUUCUGUCUAUCGGCUUUGCAAUGCUAACAAAGUGUCUGUCGAAUUCUUUCCUGCGCACUUUCAGGUGAAGGAUCUCAGCUCGGGGGUGCAGCUACUCCACGGUCGCACGAGGGGUGAUUUGUACGAGUGGCCCAAGCCUAACCCAAACCCAUCAGCCUAUGCAACCUACCCUGAUACAAAAGCAACCCUGGAUCGAUGGCAUAAUAGACUUGGCCACCCCUCUUUAGCUACUCUUAAAUUUGUUGUUUCGAAGUUUUCUUUACCUUGCUUAAACACUGCUUCCUCUGUUUUUCCUUGCAAUGAAUGCCUUUUGAAUAAAACUCAUCAGUUACCUUUUCACCAAAGCACAAUCUAUUCUUCUCAGCCUCUUCAAUAUUUAUUCUCUGAUGUCUGGCAAUCACCCAUCUCCUCUCACAAAAGCCAAAAAUACUAUGUAGUUUUUGUGGAUCAUUUCACACGAUACUCAUGGUUAUUCCCUCUUGCGGCCAAGUCUGAUGUCAAAGCCAUAUUUCUUCAGUUCAAACCUUUGGUUGAAACCCGAUUCAAAACAAAAGUCCAGAACCUCUAUACAGAUAAUGGAGGGGAGUAUAUAGCCUUGCGAUCUUACCUCUCCAGCAAUGGCAUAUCUCACCUUACAACCCCACCCCAUACCCCUCAGCACAAUGGUUUGUCGGAACGAAAACACAGACACAUAGUGGAGACUGGUUUGUCGUUGCUAUCCACGGCAAAGAUGCCAUUAACGUACUGGCCAGAAGCGUUUGCUACGGCCGUAUACUUGAUAAACCGCAUGACCACUCCUGUCCUUCAAAACCAAUCCCCAUAUCAGAAACUGUUCCAAACCACACCUAACUACGGAAAGCUCCGAACUUUUGGGAGCCUCUGUUACCCUUGGCUACGGCCUUACGCCCCAAACAAGCUUGAAAACCGUUCCAUCCCCUGUGUCUUUGUUGGAUAUUCUCUCUCACAAAGUGCUUAUAUGUGCUUGGACCCCUCAACAGCUCGGGUAUACACCUCACGACACGUUCGUUUCAAUGAAACACAAUUCCCAUAUCACCUACUCUGCCGUCAACCUCCCACACCUGAACCCCCGUUAGAUCACCCUGUCCCUACCUACCAACCUCACACCAUUAUCCAUACCCCGCCACCACUCGUACAAGCUCCGUCAACGACUACAGAGAGUGUGCCUCCGAGUUCUGAAACUUCGCCACCAGAGACACAACCUACGGUCGUGACAGCACCUGAGCCAUCUGCACCCACAGACAGUGGGACUCUAGCACCAACAACGACUGAGACAACCACAGAACCUGUGGUAACCUCGACCUCUGCACCACCACCUGCGCAGCCACCUCCACGACAUUCGAUGACGACACGAUCCAGAAACAACAUCACCAAGCCGACAACUCGCUACAACCUGACAACAAAUCUCCAAGAGGAUCCUCACUGGAUUCCAACAACAUGGCAACAAGCAAUGAGACAUCCAAAAUGGCGUGCUGCCAUGCUUGCGGAAUUCAACUCUCAGGUGAAGAAUCAUACAUGGGACUUGGAAGCAGCUUGUGAAGGUAUGAAUAUCGUUGGCUGCCACUGGAUAUUCACAAUAAAAUAUCACCCGAAUGGAGAGAUAGAUCGAUACAAAGCCCGUCUUGUCGCAAAGGGCUAUCAUCAACAGCCUGGGGUUGACUAUACAGACACAUUCAGUCCGGUCAUCAAACCAACGACGAUCCGGAUAGUACUUGGGCUAGCGGUCAAUAACUCCUGGCCUAUACGACAGAUUGAUGUCAACACGGCUUUCUUACAAGGCCAUCUUAAAGAAGAAGUCUUCAUCUCUCAACCUCCAGGCUUUGUAGACAGAGACAACCCCACGAAAGUAUGUCGACUACGGAAAGCGCUCUAUGGGCUCAAACAGGCGCCUAGGGCGUGGUACUCUGAGUUACACAAGUUCCUUGUCGCAACAGGGUUCUACAACUCUCUCUCGGAUACCUUGUUAUUUAUACUCAAACAGGGGAAGGAAUUUGUCUAUCUACUUGUCUAUGUAGAUGAUAUCUUGAUCACGGGAACAUCACCACAGCUGGUUCAACGGGUGAUCGAUACACUUGCAAGGAAAUUCUCUAUCAAGGAUAUGGGGAACUUGAGUUAUUUUCUUGGCAUUGAAGCGGUACGGACUAAGGAUGGGUUACAUCUGAUGCAGCGCAAGUAUGUGACUGAUCUACUUACAAAGACCAACAUGCUUCACUCAAAACCGGUUUCAACUCCUAUGGCCUCUUCCCCGAAGCUUACACUGAAAUCUGGCUCUCCACUCUCUGACCCUCGUGAAUACAGACAGGUCGUUGGAAGCCUUCAGUACUUGUCUCUCACACGCCCGGACAUUUCUUAUGCGGUCAACAGAUUAUCCCAGUUCAUGCACAGUCCCACAACAUGUCAUUGGCUUGCAGUCAAACGUCUUCUCCGUUAUCUUUCGGGGACACUAAGUCAUGGAAUCUAUCUCCGCAAACAAAGUCAAGCGCCGUUACAUGCAUUCUCGGACGCCGAUUGGGCAGGAGACUCAGAUGACUAUGUCUCGACAAAUGGAUAUAUCGUCUACCUAGGCUCUCAUCCUAUUUCUUGGACGUCAAGGAAGCAGAAAGGCGUGGCGCGCUCGUCCACUGAAGCUGAAUACAGAGCGGUCGCACACACAUCUGCGGAACUACGCUGGAUAUGCUCCCUUCUCACGGAGCUUGGAGUAACACUCACGUCUCCGCCUACUGUGUAUUGUGACAACAUCGGAGCCACAUAUCUCUGUCAAAACCCAGUUUUUCACUCAAGAAUGAAGCACAUAGCCAUUGACUAUCACUUCGUACGCGGACAGAUUCAAAAUGGUAUGCUGCGUGUUACUCAUGUGUCUACACAUGAUCAACUAGCAGAUGGUCUGACGAAGCCCCUAGCCAGGACUCCAUUCCAACAUCUCUGCAACAAGAUUGGUGUCUCAAGAGUUCCACCAUCUUGAGGGGGCGUAUAAGGCAAUAUAGUAUCAUAGAAGGACUAUUAUGUAAAUACAUUAGAGUACAAUAUAUACCCUAGCUUGUACUUGUAUAAAUACUCUGUAUUAGUCUUAAUAAAGUAAUUAUUCAGACCUAAUACAUUAUAUUAGGAAGACCGUAUCUUGUGUAGCAAGAUUGGUUCGGGAUGACUUCAAUACCACACGCCUUUGCCUUUCACAGCUUUUGUUCUCACCAGCAAACUGAAAUAGAGAUUAGUAGAUUCAUGAGGAGAAAGAGUUUGAUCAUGAGAGAAGGUCAGUUUUCCACCAUGGCUAGGGCUAAUGGUGUUGGUGAAUGAGAAGAUGAUAAUUGUUUUUUUAAUUAUAUAUAAAAAUGGAUUUUUUAUUGGUUUAGUUGAUUUUAAAUUAUUUACUUAAGAAUAAACCAAUUUGAAACCAUUAAACCUAUUAAAAAUUUAAAACCAUUGUUUAUGGAUAAUUGAUUUUUGAACUAUCGAUCCUCGGAGAAAUAAAUUUAAAACUUUCAAUUCAUGGAGAUCUAACACGAUGUCAUAGUUUGGUGGAGAUCUAAUGUUAUACUAGAUUUUGACCUGCGCGUCCGCGCGUGUGUAUUUUUUAAAAAAAUAUGAUACUAUUUGUUUUUAUGUUACUUUUAGGGUUGGACAAAAAACUCGAAUUUAAAGAAUCGAACCGAUCCCAAUACGAAUAAGUACUACCAAAUCUGAAUCGAAAUUGAUUAAAUAUCUAAAUUUUUCAAAAUUUUUGUAUUUGAAGAACUGAAACCUAAUCUGAUCCGAACCGAAGUAUUUUGGGUAUCCAAAAUAGAUUUAUAUACUUAUAUAUAUUAAUUAUUUUUAGAUUUAAUAUAUAUAAAACAUACAGAAUAUAUAUGAUACUUUUAAGUUCGUUUAAAUACUUGAAAAUAUAUACAAAUAAUCAAACGUAAAUAUCUAAAAUAGUUAAAAUAUACUCAAAACUCUAAAAAUACUUAAAUAAUUAUUAAUUCUCUAUCGAAAUAUUUAAAUGAAACCAAUUUAAAUUGGUUAUCCAAAUCCAAACCGAAUCCUCAAAGAUAUUAACCUAACACGAAAUCCCAAAUAGACCUGAAACAAACCCGAACGCCCACCUCUAAUCAUUAUUAUAUAUCUUGUACGUGUCAUCAUAGGUUACAAAAAUAUGUGUUAUCAUAUAAUUAAUCGUAUUUUAUAUGUACCAUCAAAUAAGUUUUCUUAUAAUUAAUAAUAUUUUAUACGUACAAUCAUAUAAAUAAUCACAUAUGUUAUAUUUUUAAAUUUCAAUGUGAAAUAAAAAACCAUAAUUUAAGUUGGUAUAUGAAAUUGAGCUUUGUAUUGUAUUUAUCUUAUAUAUAUUGAAAACAUUUUUAUAAUGGUUAUUGAAAAAUAUGUUACUAAAAAUUAAAUUUUGAAUAUAUGUAUAUUUUUGAAUAACUUUUUAUAUAAAUCAAUUUUAAAUUAUUAUUUUGAUUUGAAUAUGUAUACCAAGUAACAUAAACCCAUUAUUUUUUAAUAUAAUGGAAUGAAAUUCCAAUUUUUGUAAUAGUAUAAGUUCAUUACUUUUUUUUCCUAACUUACUGCUAUCCAUAUUUUCAAAAAAUACUAUUUUUUUUAACUGCUAUCUAUGUUGCCAAUUUUUUUUUUGAAAUACUUCUACUUUAAUAAGAUAGAUAGAAGUUAUCGUGGGAAAAUAAAUUGUCGAUUUUAUGGAAAUUGUCGGUUAUAAGCCAUGGGUUAUAAGUAACUGAGAAAAAAUGAUUAAAACAAACAUUGUUUAUCAGAAAGUUGGUAAGCUUUUGUGUAUAUUUUCAAAAUGAUUAAAGCAAACUUUUUUUUUCAAGAUUAAAGCAAACAUUAUUGAUUUCUGAUGCAACAACACUAAAAUACUGGCUAAAUAAAUAAAGUUUCUUGGAGCCGCCAUAUCAAGAAUUCUCCAAGUUAAGUGGAAGCAGAAAAAUCAAAGUCAAAAAGAAAAAAGAGUUUUGGGAGCCUGCUCUGCUGUCCCUUUCAAGUUUCACCUGCAUAGGUAUAAAAUGGACAUGACUAUUUACCAAUAGGGCUGAGCGAAAUAUCUGUAAAUUUUGAUUUGAUUCGUUAUUUGUUUCGAUUCAAAAUAAAAAAUCCGGAUAUCCGUAACUCUACGAAACAAAGCAAAAACUAAAAAUAAAUAUUUGUAAAAAUCGAAACAAAUCACAAAUAUUAAUAUUUUUAGAAAGAAUAUUCAAUCCGAUACUCUGUAUGCAUAAAAUGGAUGCAAUGAAGAUCUUCUCCAUCGUUUUAGCUAUAUGGGGCUUCUUUUCUUUUGUCUAUCAUCAUUACCUUGUUGAAAUGAAGUUGAUUAACUUCUACACAAACCAUGUCGAGGAGGAUACACAAAUUUGAUGGAAUGUUGCAUAUGCAUAUAUCCUAUAUAAAGCUCGUUUGUGUAAUUUUUGUAGUGAUCUAUGCGAAUGGGAUGCAUGUCUCUCUGUACAGCUUGAGCCUGUGUAUCAACAAGGGCUGUUACUCAUGGCUUACCAUGUUUUCCCAAGGUUAUUGAAGGUUCGAGUUGAGUUUCUUAACCCAUAUACAUAGGUUUCUUAGUUUUAGGGAUUAACCAAUUAGAGUCGAAAGAUUGCAUAAAACUAUAAGAUAUUUACCAGUUUUAAUAUAGCUUACAAAGAUGCUAACGCACCAUUCUGAUUUAUGGUUUAAGCGCACUUAAGAUAAACAAUCAGGAAAUCAUGUCGAACUAUCCUUUGGGAAACAGAGAUUUGAACAAAAUAUAAGUGAACAUCAAUAAUGUAGCGAGAUCCUCAGCCGUCCACUAUUAAGUUGCAAAAUAAUUUAACCUUUCGUUUUGUAAUUGGAUAUGCAUUUAGAUUUUGUAUAUCAAUGUUGUAUUCUUAUGUUAUGUUGCAUCUAAAUUUCGUUUGUUUUUUAAGUUGAUUCUUAUAACUAGAGUUGCAUUUUAAGUUGAUUUUUACAUAAAUAUAUUACAUCUUAAUGCAAAGUCAAAAAUGUCCCAAAAAAACAACAGAUGGGCAUUUGCAUCCAGAUGUGCAUCCAGAUGUGCAUCAUACAAAAACAAAUGUCUUUGCUUGGAAAGAUGGGCAGACUUUCUCUGCCACGUUUUGGCUUAACCUCAGCAUUAUCUUGAGGAGAAAAAACUUCAAGACUAGCCAAAGAGAAAACUCAAAAGUGUGUUCCUAAAUAAUCUACAUGUCUAAUCAUAAGAGAACGAUAGUCACACGGCACAAUCCAAAAAGAAUUCAUAGAGACAAGGAAAUUUCAGUACUAUUCAGCUUGAAAAUCACACAAAUUGUCUUUGUGUUAUAUUGAUGUUUCUCCAUUAAGAUGCAAAGUAAACUUUUCUGAGUAAAUAUUAGCUACACAUAAUUUUCAUCUUGACUCAACUCAUCUCUUGGUCAAUAAUAGUGCCAUCUUCAAAAAUUAAACUCAUGACAAGAUGAGACAUAUCUAUAAAUUGAGCAUUUACUUAAUGUGGGGACAUGUUACAAUGAAAACUUAACAGUGAUCGGUUCCUGAUCACUAAAUAUAUAUAGCUAUCAUUUGGUAGCUUAUUAGCUACCAAGAGAACUGAUAAUAAGAUACUUAAUACUUUAGCUCCUCCUUUUCCAUCUCCAAGGAGGUAUAUUCCACAUCCACCAUGAAGGGUGAUCAAGAACUACAAGUCAUCGGUGAGUAAGAAUAAACCAGUUCCUGAAGAACUACUUUAUGGUAUCUUAAUACCUUACAAGUGACAACAAAAUUACUAUCAUUAACUAAUUUUUUUUUGCAAUAUUUUCGCUCACUUACCAGUUCAGCAAGGAAAAGAACUAAAUCCAACGGUUCAAGAUGAAAUCAACUCGGUCGGUAACAACCAAACAGGAGUGCCUCACUCAAACACAUACAAACGGUGGCUCCGGGUGAUUGCCUACACAUUCUUUGUCAUUUCAGGACAAUCAGUUGCUGCAAUUCUAGGAAGACUAUACUAUGACAAUGGAGGAAAAAGCAAAUGGCUAGCAACUGUAGUUCAACUUGUAGGCUUUCCUGUUCUGCUUCCAUAUCAUCUCUUAUCAAUAAAAACACAUGCAACAACUCAUACAGAUAGCAAAUCAGCCUCACCUAGAAACCGUGUAUUAGUUUAUGUAGUACUUGGUGUUCUUGUAGGAGCAGGCUGCUACCUUUAUUCCAUAGGACUGCUUUACCUACCCGUCUCUACCUUUUCUCUGAUCUGUGCAUCGCAGUUAGCCUUCAACGCUUUCUUCUCUUAUUUCCUCAACUCACAAAAACUCACUCCAAUCAUUUUGAACUCUCUUUUGCUCCUAACUAUCUCUUCCACCCUCCUUGCCUUCAAUAAUGAGGAAUCAAAUUUCAAAAAAGUAACAAGAGGACAGUAUGUCACAAGUUUCAUAUGCACCAUUGGUGCUUCUGCCGGAUUUGGUCUAGUCUUAUCUGUUAAGCUAGAUGAGCUUCCAACCUAAAACCAAUUGGUGCUAAGUGGAGUGACCCAUCUAUCUUAUAUAUUGCUUAGGAUCCCUUCCAAUAUCCGAUGUGGGACAUUUAUCCCUAAUACGCCCCCUCGAGAUGAUGGCUCUUUGAGCGUCAAUCUCGGAAUGUUCGGGCAAGGAUCGAUGGGCCGACUUUGGGCUGGAUCGAUAAUGGAUCGGAUUGGACUGCGUGGAUCGGGCUCUGAUACCAUGUUAAGCUAGAUGGGCUUCCAACCUAAAACCAAUUGGUGCUAAGUGGAGUGACCCAUCUAUCUUAUAUAUUGCUUAGGAUCCCUUCCAAUAUCCGAUGUGGGACAUUUAUCCCUAAUAUUAUCA